GACGAACGCUGGCGGCGUGCCUAAUACAUGCAAGUCGAGCGAAUCUUUUGGGAGCUUGCUCUCUUAAGAUUAGCGGCGGACGGGUGAGUAACACGUGGGUAACCUGCCUGUAAGACUGGGAUAACUUCGGGAAACCGGAGCUAAUACCGGAUACUUUCUUUUCUCGCAUGAGGGAAGAUGGAAAGAUGGUUCUGCUAUCACUUACAGAUGGACCCGCGGCGCAUUAGCUAGUUGGUGAGGUAACGGCUCACCAAGGCGACGAUGCGUAGCCGACCUGAGAGGGUGAGCGGCCACACUGGGACGGAGACACGGCCCAGACGCCAACGGGAGGCAGCAGUAGGGAAUGUUCCGCAAUGGACGAAAGUCUGACGGAGCAACGCCGCGUGAGCGAAGAAGGCCUUCGGGUCGUAAAGCUCUGUUGUUAGGGAAGAACAAGUACGAGAGUAACUGCUCGUACCUUGACGGUACCUAACCAGAAAGCCACGGCUAACUACGUGCCAGCCGCCGCCGUAAAAC
rnacentral:rRNA from 1 species